AUGGAAGGGCAUCGGUUACGCGUUGGAACCUUAGCAAGGAGUUCAUCUCUUUUGUCUUCUGGUGGUCUUAUGAUAACCAACGCCAGUAAUUUUCAAUUAUCUAGUUGGUCCUGUUUUGUUUUUAUCCAGAUGCAAGUCCAUUUACAACUUCUUUUCAUUGCCAAACUUUGUGCAUGUCGGCCGCUGAUGACCUUCCUCAUAGUUGGUGGUUAUGAUGGUUUGCAUUUUUCUUUUUUAACCAAUUUGGGUAUGUUAUCAACAGCUCAUCCUCGGUCCACUAUGGCGAUCGUUCAUUUCAAGCAUGCAAGACUCUAA